AUUGAACGCUGGCGGCAGGCCUAACACAUGCAAGUCGAGCGAGCGGCGGACGGGUGAGUAAUGUAUGGGGACUGCCCGAUAGAGGGGGAUAACUACUGGAAACGGUGGCUAAUACUGCAUACUAUCGGAUAACCCAUAUGGGUUUAGCUAGGAGGUGGGGUAAAGGCUCACCUAGGCGAGGAUCUCUAGCUGGUCUGAGAGGAUGAUCGGCCACACUGGAACUGAGACACGGCCCAGACGCCUACGGAGGCAGCAGUGGGGAAUAUUGGGCAAUGGGGGCAACCCUGACGCAGCCAUGCCGCGUGAAUGAAGAAGGCCUUCGGGUUGUAAGGUUCUUUCGGUAGCGAGGCGUUACUCGCAGAAGAAGCACCGGCUAACUCCGUGCCAGCAGCCGCGGUAAUAC
rnacentral:rRNA from 1 species